CGUUAUUUCUUUUUCUGCUCUCCACCGCUUUGUUGCUGUUGUCCGCCUUGCUCUUUCUUCUUCUUGGCCAUUUUGUAUCUGAUAAAAAUUCA
rnacentral:sRNA from 2 species